ACAAAUGUCUCAUGAACUCGUUGAAAGCAAGUCCGAAAGAAAGAGAAGGUCUAAUUGGACAGAACAGGAAUCUCUUCUUCUUGCUCAGUUAGUGCAGGAGAAAAAAAACAUAAUCAGAGGGAAAUGCAGCACUGGAGUUUCAACCCUGGAUAAAAGAAAUGCCUGGGAGCACAUUGCUCAAAACAUCAACACCACCUUCCCACAUGUUCAGCGUACCGUUUCUGACUGUAACAAAAAGUGGGAAAAUCUCUUGGCAAAGACAAGAGAGGAAAUCAAACGGCAGAAAAGACUGGUUGGUGCUGGUGAGAACAGUCUGCUCUUUGUUAGUAACACCAAUUUGUUGUCUUGGGUCUUCAAUAACAUGUUUAUUAAUACAAUGCAACUUGAUUUUUCACCCACAGACGGCAUGUCUCUGGAAAAUUUCAGUGCGGUGACCCAAAUAGUGAUCUCUGUGAUGAAUCUGUCAGGUGUUUUGCAAGAGGUGAAUGACUCUGCUGCCGCGCUUCUUGAAAGCCAGCAAAAGAGUUGUAAUGAAGACGGAGGUGAGGACACGAUGCGGGAGACAUUCUCAAACAAACAUCCACUGGUGGAGCUGGAGCAUCAUACAUACACCGCCGCAUCCACUUCGACCGCCAAACCAAAUAUUACCCUCACUAAUGUCCCAAAAUCACUGGCCUUGCAGUUUAGCACUGGCUUCAGCGCCCCUGACGAUGAACUGGCUUCCCCCUGCCCCACGUCGGCACCGUGCCCACACUGCCCGUCCUCACAAGAGCGAGUGGAUUUGGAAAUGUCUGUGCUGAGGAGACAAGAUGCUGUCCUCAAGCUGCAGGAGGAAUAUUACACGCUGAAACUUGAAAUGAUAAAAAAGAAAAUGAAAGCGCCAUUUUCAGAGGACUGAAGGAGUUUCUGCCAUAGAACGCGUGUAGAUCCAAGCAAGAAAUGAACAAUCAAUUUAUUUAAUAACAGGUGAAUAUAUCGAGAAAACACUUUGAAAUAAUGGUGCUGUUUUAGUGUGUCCUCUGUUUACAGCUGGCGCUUGACAGGCGCGACGGCCUGAGCCAUGAGAACCUCAACGAGAGCAGUCUCCAUUACUGAUCAAUAGACAUAAAAGGGAUUUUUUUUAUCAUGCAAGGUAAUAAAAUUAACAAAGUUCUUCGAGCUAUAAAACAGCUGAUUUGCCGAAAUGUCCAUCAUGUCUGGAAUUACCGCGAGAAAUGCAGUUUGACGAUAGAAAGCACAAUUUAGGAAGCUAAGUGUCCAGAAAUAGCCGACAUAAGCAAGGCUGCAAUCUGCACAAAUGUAGUCAUUUGUGUGUCAUUUUGAUAAAUUCAUGUAUUUGUAAGCAGCUGAGGUUCAGACGCUCAGAUGUGAGCAAUGGGUCAGCGAGUGCUAAAGAAACGGCUGUCAUUUGCUGUGUGGUUUUCUCAUUUCCUUUGUUAGUGUUGUGGCAGACUGUGUUACUAGCAAACGCCGCGACUGUCUCCUUUUCUGCCGCCUCAGCGUUAACUCGCCGCCUUUACUUUCAUUCACUUUUUCAGUUUUGACUACAGACCGAGUGCAGAUUUUCGAUGGCAGAGGCGAUGAGCUGUCUGCAUAAUGGCUGCUGUGUUUAUAUGAGAAAUAAAAUGGAACAUUUAAGUUUCCUGACUUUUAUCCAGCCACAGAAUGAAACGCUGUGGAUGUGCGCGUAUGUGCACGUGUUGACAGAUGUCACUUUUUUAAAUACUCCUUUUUAAGUGUUUUUCCUUUGUAAACUUCUUCUGUAAAAACCAUAGUAAAUCGGGAGUUUUAAACAGCUUAUUUAAUCCACUCUGACCUUCGAUACUGUCUCUCAGCUGCAACAUGCUGUUAUUCAGAUUAAUGCAACUUAUUCCUAUAGGUAAAUUAUCAUCCAUUUUAAUAAAAAAAAGCAGGAAUUUCAGUAUAUUUCUGUCUGUUCCACAAUUGGGAUUCGAGAUAACGUGUAGCUAUAACGUGGAGAUCAGUAUCUCAUUAGUCUGCAGCAAUGUUUAUUUAUUUUAAAAAAAAA
ensembl:lncRNA